CAGCAGCCGCGGGAAUACGGAGGGUGCAAGCGUUAAUCGGAAUUACUGGGCGUAAAGCGCACGCAGGCGGUCUGACAAGUCAGAUGUGAAAUCCCCGGGCUUAACCUGGGAACUGCAUUUGAAACUGUCAGGCUGGAGUCUUGUAGAGGGGGGUAGAAUUCCAGGUGUAGCGGUGAAAUGCGUAGAGAUCUGGAGGAAUACCGGUGGCGAAGGCGGCCCCCUGGACAAAGACUGACGCUCAGGUGCGAAAGCGUGGGGAGCAAACAGGAUUAGAGACCCCGGUAGUCCCUGUCUCUUAUAA
rnacentral:rRNA from 1 species